rnacentral:pre_miRNA from 1 species
AAAGGGACAGCUGGGUCAAAUGGUGGUUUUAUUCAUAGUUUUCUAAGAAAUCUCCAUACUGCUUUCCAGAGUGGUUGCACCAAUUUGCAAUCCUACCAGCAAU